UACGUAGGGGGCAAGCGUUGUCCGGAUUUACUGGGCGUAAAGCGCGCGCAGGCGGCACUGUAAGUAAGGUGUGAAAUCUCCCUGCUCAACGGGGAGGGUGCAUUUUAGACUGCAGAGCUAGAGGACGGUAGAGGGGGGUGGAAUUGCUGGUGUAGCGGUGAAAUGCGUAGAGAUCAGCAGGAACACCCGUGGCGAAGGCGGCCCCCUGGGCCGAACCUGACGCUGAGGCGCGAAGGCUAGGGGAGCGAACGGG
rnacentral:rRNA from 1 species